rnacentral:tRNA from 3 species
ACCCCAAAUAUAAAGAUUAAACUUUUUUUAGAA